UACGUAGGGGGCAAGCGUUGUCCGGAAUCAUUGGGCGUAAAGAGCGUGUAGGCGGUUCGGUAAGUCGGCUGUGAAAGUCCAGGGCUCAACCCUGGGAUGCCGGUCGAUACUGCCGGACUAGAGUUCGGAAGAGGCGAGUGGAAUUCCCGGUGUAGCGGUGAAAUGCGCAGAUAUCGGGAGGAACACCUAUGGCGAAGGCAGCUCGCUGGGGACGUUACUUGACG
rnacentral:rRNA from 1 species